rnacentral:rRNA from 1 species
UACGUAGGGGCCUAGCGUUGUCCGGAAUCAUUGGGCGUAAAGAGCUCGUAGGCGGUUCGGCAAGUCACGUGUGAAAUCUCCACGCUUAACGUGGAGGCGCCACGUGAAACUGCCGUGACUCGAGUCCGGUAGGGGAGUGUGGAAUUCCCGGUGUAGCGGUGAAAUGCGCAGAUAUCGGGAGGAACACCAGUAGCGAAGGCGGGUCUCUGGACAGUUCCUGACACUGAGGCACGAAGGCCAGGGGAGCAAACGGG